rnacentral:ncRNA from 1 species
GGCAUGAUUUACGCUGAUCGUUAGCUAUUCCGCGCCAAUGGCGGCGCGGCACCAGGACAAAGGCGUCCC